GUAUCCCUACGGGGCGCAGCAGUGAGGAAUAUUGGUCAAUGGCCGGAAGGCUGAACCAGCCAAGCCGCGUGAAGGACGAAGGUGCCAAGCAUUGUAAACUUCUUUUGUCAAGGGACAAAAUCAGGCUCGAGAGCCUGACCGAGGGUACUUGAAGAAAAAGCAUCGGCUAACUCCGUGCCAGCAGCCGUGGUAAUACGGAGGAGCCGAGCGUUAUCCGGAUUUAUUGGGGUUAAAGGGAGCGGAGGUGGAUUGUUAAGUCAGUUGUGAAAGUUUGCGG
rnacentral:rRNA from 1 species